AGGGCAUGAAGGAAUAAGUCAUUCAUAUAACUGAUCACAUUACUCUCAGGUCAUCCUUUCUUGGUGAAAAGUAGUGCUGUUACAACCAUCCCCGGUCUCCCCUACUUCACUUUGGCACAUUAUUCACAUCUUAGGUGACUUAUUAUUGUUCUUGUUGAGACUUAAAUAUUAACCAUAAUUUUCUCCACAGGCGGGGCGGCAGGUUUGGGACCAGGAGCUCUACAACCAAAUUGUUUACUCGUCGCCACUGCCGUACUUUCAUACCUUUGCUGCGGAUGACUGUCAGGUCGGCCUGAACUUCGCCGAGCAACAGGAAGCAGAAGUUUUCCAAAAUGCUGUCGAGGAGAAAAUCAGCCAGAGACAAAACCGUGCAGGUCAG